AAACCAACCGGGAUUGCCUUAGUAACGGCGAGUGAAGCGGCAAAAGCUCAAAUUUGAAAUCUGGUACCUUCGGUGCCCGAGUUGUAAUUUGGAGAGGGCAACUUUGGGGCCGUUCCUUGUCUAUGUUCCUUGGAACAGGACGUCAUAGAGGGUGAGAAUCCCGUGUGGCGAGGAGUGCGGUUCUUUGUAAAGUGCCUUCGAAGAGUCGAGUUGUUUGGGAAUGCAGCUCUAAGUGGGUGGUAAAUUCCAUCUAAAGCUAAAUAUUGGCGAGAGACCGAUAGCGAACAAGUACAGUGAUGGAAAGAUGAAAAGAACUUUGAAAAGAGAGUGAAAAAGUACGUGAAAUUGUUGAAAGGGAAGGGCAUUUGAUCAGACAUGGUGUUUUGUGCCCUCUGCUCCUUGUGGGUAGGGGAAUCUCGCAUUUCACUGGGCCAGCAUCAGUUUUGGUGGCAGGAUAAAUCCAUAGGAAUGUAGCUUGCCUCGGUAAGUAUUAUAGCCUGUGGGAAUACUGCCAGCUGGGACUGAGGACUGCGACGUAAGUCAAGGAUGCUGGCAUAAUGGUUAUAUGCCGCCCG
rnacentral:rRNA from 1 species